UACAGAGGGUGCAAGCGUUAAUCGGAGUUACUGGGCGUAAAGGGCGCGUAGGUGGUUUGAUAAGUGAGAGGUGAAAUCCCUGGGCUUAACCUAGGAACUGCCUCUUAUACUGUUGAACUGGAGUACUGUAGAGGGUAGUGGAAUUUCCGGUGUAGCGGUGAAAUGCGUAGAGAGUCGGAAGGAACACCAGUGGCGGAAGGCGGCUACCUGGACAGA
rnacentral:rRNA from 1 species